UGUUAAUAAGACACAAAACAGGUUUGC
rnacentral:piRNA from 1 species